GGUCAGCUGAGUGAUAGUCACGGGAUCGCGACCAAGUCUGAAUUCCUGGAGGAAAGCAGAUGAUGGACCUAGGACUCCUAAUGUUACAGGACAUGGAGAAGGAACGGGAGACACUGCAGGUCUGGAAGAAGCGUGUGGAACAAGAGCUUGAUCGUGUGAUCGCUUUCUGGAUGGAGCAUUCCCAUGACCAGGAACACGGGGGCUUCUUCACAUGUCUUGGCCGUGAUGGGAAGGUAUAUGAUCACCUCAAAUAUGUUUGGCUGCAGGGGAGGCAGGUAUGGAUGUAUUGUCGCUUAUACCGCAGUUUUGAGCGCUUCCGCCGUGUUGAGCUUCUGGAUGCAGCAAGAGCAGGUGGUGAAUUUUUGCUGCGUUAUGCCCGGGUGGCACCACCUGGCAAGAAAUGUGCUUUUGUGCUGACUCGGGAUGGCCGGCCAGUGAAGGUGCAGCGGACCAUUUUCAGCGAGUGCUUCUACACCAUGGCCAUGAAUGAACUGUGGAAAGUAACGGGGGAAGUGCGUUAUCAGAGUGAAGCCAUAGAGAUGAUGGAUCAGAUCAUCCACUGGGUACGGGAGGACCCGGCUGGGUUGGGCCGGCCUCAGCUCUCAGGGGCACUGGCCACAGAGCCCAUGGCAGUGCCCAUGAUGCUGCUCAGCCUGGUGGAGCAGCUUGGAGAAGAAGAUGAGGAGCUGACCAACAUGUAUGCAGAACUAGGGGACUGGUGUGUCCACAGGAUUCUUCAGCAUGUCCAGAGGGAUGGACAAGUUGUACUGGAGAAUGUAUCAGAGGAUGGAAAAGAGCUUCCUGGUUGCCUUGGAAGACAUCAGAACCCAGGCCACACACUGGAAGCUGGCUGGUUUCUGCUCCAGUAUGCCCUCAGGAAAGGUGACCCCAAACUUCGAAUGCACAUCAUUGACAAGUUUCUCUUAUUGCCUUUCCACUCUGGAUGGGACCCUGAACAUGGAGGCCUCUUCUACUUCCAGGAUGCGGAUGGUCUCUGCCCUACCCAGCUGGAAUGGAACAUGAAGCUGUGGUGGCCACACAGUGAAGCCAUGAUUGCCUUCCUCAUGGGUUAUAGUGACAGUGGGGACCCUGCCUUGCUGCAUCUCUUCUACAAGGUGGCUGAGUACACCUUCCGCCAGGAUACGGUCCACUAAAAGUACUGAUUUGUGAAACUGCGCUUUUUACUCUAACCAUUGGUACCGGUGCAAAAGGGACAGCGAGGGCCCCUUCCUCAACCGGUGACAUUCGAGUGGGUCCUACCAGACACGAACUGUCAUUGUCUCUUUAUUCUAGUUUCGUGAUCCUGAGUAUGGGGAAUGGUUUGGCUACCUGAACCAAGAGGGAAAGGUGGCCCUCACCAUCAAGGGAGGUCCUUUUAAAGGCUGCUUCCAUGUGCCGCGGUGCCUGGCCAUGUGCGAGCAGAUUCUAGGAGCCCUACUCCAACGCCUUGAGCCCGCCCCCCUCGACUCCUCGCCCGCUGUCUCUACCCAUGAAGGCUCGAAAUAAAGAUGACCCUGUUCCACA